CAAUUACCUGACGAGUAGUUUUGCUGGGAGAGCUGCGUUUGUUACAGGAGUAAAACCUGAAGCUAAGGAAGUUGUGCAGCAUUUGGCUGAUGUUAUUCAGUGAGGCUUACAGAUGACUCAAGUCUACCAGUCCGCCAGGUGCAAGGUAUUCUAACACGGGACCAUUUCUGAGACGUCCAGCUGAACAGAAGAGCCCUGAGUGUAAUCAAGAGGAAGAUGGAUGAUCACAAGCCGGCAAACCAAGCUGAACUUGAUUUUUUGCACCAGGAGUGGCAUAAAGUUAUCCAAAAGCAGUGUGUAAGACUGGUGAAGAAGCACAUGCCAAGAUGCAUAAAACUGUGUUUAAAACCAGGGUUAUUCCACCAAAUAUUGAUUUCUGAACUCUUAAAACUUUAUGAAUAUGAACUUGUUUUCUUUGCAUUAUUUGAGGUCUGAAAGUUCUGCAACUUUUUUGUUAUUUUAGCCAUUUCUCAUUUUCUGCAAAUAAAUGUUCUGAAUGAC